rnacentral:lncRNA from 10 species
CCCGCCAGGACUAAGCACUUCAGAGGCAUCCAUUGUUUAAUUCUCACCACACCCCCAGAGAUAGAAUCAGGAGCCCAAGGCACAAAAUGAUUCAUCCUGUUAUUCGCAGUUGCACAACUAAUCUAUGGAGCUUCAGUUCAAACCAAGCCUUUCAAGUUCCAGAGCUUAUGCCCUACAAGGACUCUCAGAAGCACAGGCCAGAAUGAGGCAGGUCAGAUGACAGAGGAGAAAUGAGGAGCAGGACUUGGGGGCUUAAGGAGGCAAAUGGCUGAGUCCAUCUAACUUUGAUCCCACUGUUUGCUGAGGCAGGCUUGAAAGGAGUAGCAGGGUAAGCAUAGAAGUCUUCACAGUGUAUUGAAAGUCUGUUCCCUCUGACCCACAUGCUUAUCCUGCACCCAGCUCAUCUCCAGCAGCAGGCUGAGGACAAACACAAAGACCAACCAAACCAGAAUAAGAAAGACUGUUUACUCAGCACUUGCUGUAGCAAGGGAGUCAACCAGCAUUGCUCGUGUAUUGGCAGAGACUCAAAGUGGAACAACCACAAUGUCUUGCUUUCUCAGCAAUGGUAAGGACGGACCCGAAGGAUGAAGCCUCUUUUCUGUCUAAAUCAAGGUCCUCCUAUUGCUCCAUCUCUCUUCUGUGCUCCAUCAGCAGUUUCAGAAGGCGGGCCCUUUCUUCUCCGGAGUUUUGUUGCAUGCUGAGUACUGUAAGAGCCUUUGAGCCUGGGAACAUUUUUAUUCACAUGUUGGAAUGCAGUUUCUCUUGGAUUUAUGUCCUCCAGAAGAAAAGUGUCAUUUAUUGUCUAAAAGAAAUGCGAGGAUCUGCCUUUCUUUAAUAACUGCUUGGAGAACCUCGUCUCCUCCUUCCUCUUCUCCACACUGCUCAACUGGGCUCCAGCUUAGACUUCUACCUGAUGCUCAGGUCUCCAAUUUCUUCCUGCUAAAAAUAACAGGUAUGAGACUCACAGUCUGGGAGUGGGGAGGAUCCAACCCCCUUCUGAGAAGCUUCUCUCUUCUCUGAGCUUACUCAAGCUGUUCCCUUCAAAUAAACCCCAGGCUGGAACGCCUUCUCCGCUUCUUUACUCAAGAGAGGAGGCUCCCAAGGGAAUAUGAGUUGCUUUGGGAGUGGUCUUUCUUUCUGAUAAUCUCAAUAAACCAUCCUCCAACUAUCCCUAAGUCUGUUUGGCCUGGAGUAAUAUCCUCAAUCAGCUUUGGACUAGGAGCCCCGGUCUUGACACCAUGGCUGUCUGAUUUGACCUUACUUAUUGUUCCUAAUAAAUGCAUUGUGCCUUAUCCCUUGUAUGGGAGGCUUCCACAUGUUUAUGAAUGUGUUUUUUAAACUCUGAAACACCCUUAAAUCCAAG